AUUGUAAUUUUGACAAAUUAAAAGACAGCUUAAUAAAAAGUCAGAUAAUUAGAGGCAUUGGAGAUUGCAAACUACAGGAAGCAUUACUUCAGGAUCCGGACCUAGACCUGCCCAAAUGUAUCAGAAUUUGCAAAGCGGCAGAAUUAGCCACAGAAAAUGUAAAAAAAAUUACCACUGAGAUGCAGGUAAAUAAUAUAAGCAGAACAACACAUAAAAAUGAAAAUCGAAACUUGGAAAAACCACAAGAUUUUCGUGAUAGGAAUCAGAAUUUGCCAGAAACUCGGGACAGUCGUCAAGCAGUAAGGAAGCAGUGCAUGAGGUGCGGAUACUACCAUGGUUUUAAAUGCCCUGCAUUUGGCUACCGGUGCAAGAAAUGUAACCGUUAUGGACACUAUGCCAAAAUGUGCAGGACCCCCUCUCAGGUACAUGCUGUAAAUCAGGAUCAGGAUAGUGAUGACUCGGACAUAGUACUAGGUGGUUGAUAGCAAAGAAAAAUCUCCAGCAGUCUUAGGUCAUAAAACAAUAUUUUCGCUGAAACUACUGAAACGUAAGUAUUUGAACCAGAUCACUUUGGGCAAAAAUAGUGACUAUGAACAAUUGAUUAAAGAAAAUUUUGAUCUCUUUGAUGAAAAAUUAGGUUUAUUAAAAGAUGUAGAGUAUGAGAUAAAAUUAAAAGAUAAUUAUCAAGCUAAAGUUGAGCCUUGUAGAGGUGUACCCAUGGCAUUACAUGAGUCACUUAAACGAGAAUUGGAUAAGAUGGAAAAACUAAAUGUAAUUCAAAAAAUUUCCGAACCUACAGAUUUUGUCAGCAAUAUAGUAAUUGUAAAAAAACCUGAUGGCAAGCUGAGGGUAUGCCUUGACCCAAGUAAUCUUAAUAAUUGUAUUAGAAGAGAGCAUUUUAAACUACCAACUUUUGAUGAAGUAUCAGCCAAAAUGUCUGGCGCUACAGUGUUCAGUAAGUUAGAUGCCUCAACUGCGUUUUAUUUAAUUAAAUUGAGUGAGAAUAGUUCAAAACUAUGCACAUUUGCGUCUCUUUUUGGUAGAUACUGCUUUUUAAGACUGCCUUAUGGAUUGGCUUCAGCGCCCGAAAUUUUUCAUAGACAAUAUAGUCAGAUAUUUGAACAGGUAGCUGGUUGUGAAGCUUUCAUUGAUGAUCUAAUAAUAUAUGGAAAAACUAAGGCUGAACAUGACAAAAGACUGUUGGAGGUGUUAAAAAUUGCAAAGCAAAAUGGUAUUAAAUUUAAUUUAAAAAAAUGUGAAUUUGGUGUUUCAGAAAUCACAUAUUUGGGGCAUAUAUUAUCAAAACAUGGCAUCAAACCGGACCCAAGAAAGGUACAGGCAAUACUAAACCUAGAGCAACCAAAGAAUGUAGCAGACUUACAACGGGCAAUAGGUAUGAUUACAUAUGUCUCUAAAUUUAUCCCUUCACUGUCAGAAGUUUGUCAUCCAUUAAGAAAAUUAAUUAGAAAAGGUGUAGAUUUUAAUUGGAAUAAGGAACAAGAUGAUUCAUUUAAACAGUUGAAAGAGAUAUUAAGUUCAGAACCGGUAUUGCAAUUUUAUGAUCCUAAUAAACCUUGUAAGCUGUCAGUGGAUGCUUCAAAAAACUCGUUAGGAGCAGUGUUACUGCAAAAUGAUCUUCCUGUUGCAUACGCCUCUAAAGCAAUGACAACCACACAACAAAUGUACGCACAAAUUGAGAAAGAGAUGCUAGCUAUAGUCUAUGGUUGCUUGAGGUUUCAUCAAUAUAUUUACGGUAAAACUAUAGAAGUUGAGUCAGAUCACAAACCACUUGAAAUAAUAUUUAAAAAACCAUUGUGUGAUGUACCAUUGAGGUUACAAAGAAUGCGGUUACAAUUACAAAAAUACGAUCUAGUAGUGAAGUACAAAGCAGGCAAAGAACUGUUGCUAGCAGAUUCUUUAUCACGCAAUUUUAAUAAUUCUAAAGAUGAUGAUACGGUUCUAGAUGAUCUGGUAGAGCCACAUGUUAGCAUGAUUAGAUGUAAUUUAAAAAUUCCAUCAUCCAAAUAUAAAUUAAUACAAACAGAAACUGCAAAGGACAAAGAAUUGAUUGAAUUAACAAAAUGUAUAAAAAAUGGGUGGCCAAAUAUAAAAAAUAUACCAGAUAAUUUAAAACCAUAUUAUACAUUUAAAGGAGAACUCUUUAUAUAUGAUGAUUUAAUUUACAAAAACAAUUGCUUGGUUAUUCCAUCAUCAUUAAGAAAGGAAAUGUUGAACAAAAUUCAUUAUAAUCACCUAGGCAUUGACAAAUGUAAAUCAAGGGCCCGUAAAUGCUUAUUUUGGCCAAGAAUGACAGUAGAUAUAGAAAAUAAGGUAGCAGAGUGUAAUACUUGUAACAGGUUUAAAAAAAGUAAUUGUAAAGAACCUAUGACAAUAAGAAAUUUUCCAGAUAAACCAUGGUCAAUGCUAGGUUGUGAUGUAUUCUAUUAUAACAAAGAAAGCUAUCUAAUUGUGGUGGAUUAUUUUAGUAAAUAUGUAGAGGUAGCUAAGUUGGAUAAUCUAUCAGCAGAAAAUACUGUCCAAAUAUUAAAAGGUUUAUUCAGUAGGCAUGGCAUACCAGAUAUACUGUUCUCUGAUAAUGGUACAAAUUUUUCAAGUUAUAAGUUUAAAGAAUUUGCUACACAAUGGGGAUUUGAACAUAAAACCAGUAGCCCACUGCAUCCUCAGUCAAAUGGUCUGGCAGAACGAUUCGUACAAACUGUAAAGAAUGUUUUUAGAAAAGCUGACUAUGAACAUAAAGAUAAAGAUUUAGCAUUGUUAGAGUUAAGAAAUACACCAAUAUCACAUGACUUAGAUCUUAAGACUCCAGCAGAGUUAUUAAUGGGUCGACAAAUUAGAGGACUGUUACCUGUAAAUGAAAAACAUGAUAAAGACGUUCAUGUUCAGAAUAAAUUAUACAAGAAUGCUAACCAACAAAAAUAUUAUUAUGACAGAAAUACUAGAAAAUUGCCUGAGCUAGUUCAGGGUCAAAAUGUUAUAAUUAAGGAUAAUUUAAACAAGAAACCUAAUUUGUAUGGCCAAGUUGUUUGUCGUGAUGUAAGACCUAAUACAUAUGUUGUAAAAACCGAAAAAGGAAAUGUAAUUUACAGAAACAGGAGGUAUUUAAUACAUAACAAGUCAGAUGUACUUAUGAACAAUAAGGAUAACUAUUAUAGAUAUGGAAACUCAUUUGAUGAUACCUUUCCUGGUUCUAUAAAUGAUAAUAUGGUCAAUUCAAAUGAUGAUUUAAUGAAGCAGAUAAAUAAUCAAGAUGUAAGUCAUGAUCAUGAUACAUCAGGCCUCAAGUUGCCAGAAAACAGUAUUGAAUUAUCACCUAAAAAUAGUUAUACUGAAGUGUAUAGAUCUAGAGUUGGUAGAAGUAUUAAGAAACCUAGAUAUUUAUCAGAUUAUAUGACUGAUUAGUUUUUAUUUAAGAAAGUUGUUUACUUUAAGUUUCAUUAAGAAUAAAGGGGAUGUGAUGUAUGUUAUCUGUGGUCGACGAUCAUCUGUCAUACUCACAAUAAAGAUGUCGGAGUACAAA